UACGUAGGGGGCUAGCGUUGUCCGGAAUUAUUGGGCGUAAAGCGCGCGCAGGUGGUUCCUUAAGUCUGAUGUGAAAAGCCCACGGCUCAACCGUGGAGGGUCAUUGGAAAACUGGGGGGACUUGAGUACAGGAGGGAAGAGUGGAAUUCCACGUGUAGCGGUGAAAUGCGCAGAUAUCAGGAGGAACACCGGUGGCGAAGGCGGUCUCUGGGCCGAUACUGACGCUGAGGAGCGAAAGCGUGGGAGCGAACAGG
rnacentral:rRNA from 1 species